CACAGUUGUUAAAAACAGGCUGCAAACUCUGCCCUGUGCAUUACCAGUGGUGUGCACAGCAUCUCUAGGAUGAAUGCCAGAGUAUCUCCCUGAAGUCUUGGGAGAUGUUGCCUUCAGAUGCCAAGAUAGCCCCAGAAUCGGUCAUCGAGGAUGCUGGUGAGAGAGGAUGCAUUUAAGGUUUUGCACAGCUGAAUCAUGACCUAUAUUACGUCACCAAGCCUUGAAUUUGAUGUAAGCCAGGGUGAAAUCUGGCUUAUCGCUUGUAUUAUAAACAAGAAUUGUGGAUGUUGACAUUGAGACAGAAACAAGACUUUAUUGGGAAUGCCAGUGGUUCAAAGAUGAAAAGGCCUCAAGAGGCUUUUUGUUAUCAAAUUCCACUUACCCUCCCCGUUGUAACUUUCAUCAGAGCUGAAGGGAUGCUGCCAAAAUCUGACUUCACUUCAGAAAGUGCCAGGAUACGCUGCUGGAGUUGCAACAGAAGAAAGACAGUUGGAAGGAGACAAACAUUCAGGUUAUGGCCUGGGAGAAGGGAAGAGGCUGGAGGAGAAAGAAAAUGGUUUUGUGUUGCUUCCCAAACCUUCUCCAAAGUUGCUAGGCAGGUGGGGGAGAUGGGGCCAGCCCCAUCUGGUCCACUUUUUCCAACAAUCUCUUUUCACAUCACUUUUCCUGCCAUGUGGGAAAAUGGGAAAAAUUCCCAACAAAUCACUGCAAAGUCUGCCCUGUGUUUCCUGGCAGCUCCCUCCUCUUCUUCAAAGUAGCCAAGAACCUACAGCCCAACAGCAGCUGAGCAGGUAGUACCAUUCUCCCUGCAUCUUGGAGGUGGACAACACUCACUUUGCUUUGCCCCAUUUUUACCCCAGUGAUUAUGUGAAGAAAUUUUCAGAACAAAGGACCAUUCUUUGCAUUUGUUUGACAAGUGUGCAGAGCAGUGAGAAUCCUCAAAUCCAUAUUCGUCCGUGGCCACAAUAAUGAGGCUAAUAAUAUCUGCAUGACCAUCAUACAAGCCAACAGAUACAGGACGGACAAGAAGGCUUUGUUACCUCCUCCUUCUUGAGUACUGAGAGCAGACCCUUCAGAAUAUCUGGUUUUCCAGGUGCAGAUGCUCACCAUUAUCUCAAAGAUCAGCUGACUUUCUGAUCUCCACUUAGGUUUUGCCCAAAAGGAGCAUCCCAGCUUACUAAUCAUUUCAGGAAAUUGUACCUUAUUGUGUUGGUUCAUCAGUUUUCCCUGAUUGUGCAAUGGAAAUAAAACUGCUUACUCCACCAUGAUUUCUCAAAAAUACUUUCAGUGUCUCCAGCAAAAGCUAUUUGUGUACAAAGCAUUAUUAAUAUUGUGAAAUGAUGAAAAAUCAACAUGUG
rnacentral:lncRNA from 1 species